rnacentral:rRNA from 1 species
UACAAGGGGGGCAAGCGUUGUUCGGAAUUACUGGGCGUAAAGGGCUCGUAGGCGGCCGGCUAAGUCCGACGUGAAAUCCCCAGGCUUAACCUGGGAACUGCGUCGGAUACUGGCGGGCUUGAAUCCGGGAGAGGGAUGCGGAAUUCCAGGUGUAGCGGUGAAAUGCGUAGAUAUCUGGAGGAACACCGGUGGCGAAGGCGGCAUCCUGGACCGGCAUUGACGCUGAACAGC